CCCUUAGAUGUUCUGGGCCGCACGCGUGCUACACUGACCGACGCAACAAGUUUCUUUCCUUGGCUCGAUAGGCCUGGGUAAUCUUUGAACGCCGGUCGUGAUGGGGAUAGAUCCUUGCAAUUUUUGAUCUUCAACGAGGAAUUCCUAGUAAAUGCGAGUCAUCAUCUCGCGUUGAUUACGUCCCUGCCCUUUGUACACACCGCCCGUCGCACCUACCGAUUGAAUGGUCCGGUGAAGCCUCGGGAUUGCGAAUGCUUCGUGCGGACGCGAGAACUUGGCUAAACCUUACCAUUUAGAGGAAGGUGAAGUCGUAACA
rnacentral:rRNA from 1 species